UAGGAAUCUGCCUGGUAGUGGGGGAUAACGUCCGGAAACGGACGCUAAUACCGCAUACGUCCUACGGGAGAAAGCAGGGGACCUUCGGGCCUUGCGCUAUCAGAUGAGCCUAGGUCGGAUUAGCUAGUUGGUGGGGUAAUGGCUCACCAAGGCGACGAUCCGUAACUGGUCUGAGAGGAUGAUCAGUCACACUGGAACUGAGACACGGUCCAGACUCCUACGGGAGGCAGCAGUGGGGAAUAUUGGACAAUGGGCGAAAGCCUGAUCCAGCCAUGCCGCGUGUGUGAAGAAGGUCUUCGGAUUGUAAAGCACUUUAAGUUGGGAGGAAGGGCAGUAAAUUAAUACUUUGCUGUUUUGACGUUACCGACAGAAUAAGCACCGGCUAACUCUGUGCCAGCAGCCGCGGUAAUACAGAGGGUGCAAGCGUUAAUCGGAAUUACUGGGCGUAAAGCGCGCGUAGGUGGUUCGUUAAGUUGGAUGUGAAAUCCCCGGGCUCAACCUGGGAACUGCAUUCAAAACUGACGAGCUAGAGUAUGGUAGAGGGUGGUGGAAUUUCCUGUGUAUCGGUGAAAUGC
rnacentral:rRNA from 1 species